CUCCUACGUGAGGCAGCAGUAGGGAAUCUUCCACAAUGGACGAAAGUCUGAUGGAGCAACGCCGCGUGAGUGAAGAAGGGUUUCGGCUCGUAAAGCUCUGUUGGUAGUGAAGAAAGAUAGAGGUAGUAACUGGCCUUUAUUUGACGGUAAUUACUUAGAAAGUCACGGCUAACUACGUGCCAGCAGCCGCGGUAAUACGUAGGUGGCAAGCGUUGUCCGGAUUUAUUGGGCGUAAAGCGAGUGCAGGCGGUUUUAAAAGUCUGUU
rnacentral:rRNA from 1 species